rnacentral:rRNA from 1 species
CCUACGGGGGGCUGCAGUAACGAAUCUUCCGCAAUGCACGCAAGUGUGACGGAGCGACGCCGCGUGUGGGACGAAGUCCUUCGGGAUGUAAACCACUGUCAGGGGUUAGAUCAACCCCAGAGGAAGAGACGGCUAACUCUGUGCCAGCAGCCGCGGUAAUACAGAGGUCUCGAGCGUUAGGCGGAAUCACUGGGCUUAAAGCGUGUGUAGGUGGAUGCCUAAGUACCUUGUGAAAUCCCACAGCUUAACUGUGGAACUGCUUGGUAUACUGGGUGUCUUGAGUCACUCAGGGGCGAGCGGAACAAAUGGUGGAGCGGUGAAAUGCGUAGAUAUCAUUUGGAACGCCAAUGGUGAAAACAGCUCGCUGGGGGUGACUGACACUGAGACACGAAAGCCAGGGGAGCGAACGGGAUUAGAUACCCUUGUAGUC